GACGAACGCUGGCGGCGUGCCUAAUACAUGCAAGUAGAACGCUGAAGAGAGGAGCUUACUCUUCUUGGAUGAGUUGCGAACGGGUGAGUAACGCGUAGGUAACCUGCCUUGUAGCGGGGGAUAACUAUUGGAAACGAUAGCUAAUACCGCAUAACAAUGGAUGACACAUGUCAUUUAUUUGAAAGGGGCAAUUGCUCCACUACAAGAUGGACCUGCGUUGUAUUAGCUAGUAGGUGAGGUAAUGGCUCACCUAGGCGACGAUACAUAGCCGACCUGAGAGGGUGAUCGGCCACACUGGGACUGAGACACGGCCCAGACUCCGACGGGAGGCAGCAGUAGGGAAUCUUCGGCAAUGGGGGCAACCCUGACCGAGCAACGCCGCGUGAGUGAAGAAGGUUUUCGGAUCGUAAAGCUCUGUUGUAAGUCAAGAACGGGUGUGAGAGUGGAAAGUUCACACUGUGACGGUAGCUUACCAGAAAGGGACGGCUAACUACGUG
rnacentral:rRNA from 1 species